ensembl:lncRNA
AAGCAAACUACCCUCCACUUCACUGAAUCCUAAAUUGCUAAAAUACGUAGUCAUGUUGAAAAUAAGUUUAGAAAAUUCAAGUGGUUUUGUGAUAUAUGCUAUAUUAGUUUGGGUAGAAGCUAAGCUGCUGUGACAGACACAAACAAAAAAGAUGCAGUGAAUUAAAAAAAAAGAGAUCCUUUAUUUCUCAAUCAUGUAAUAGCCAGAGAUAAGUUGCUUAGAGCUGGAUCUGAGGCUUUGUGUCCACACAUUUUGCUUGGUUCUUGUCUGAUGUCUGCCAGACCAAGACGCGCCAUAGGCAAAUCUGAUGGAGAAGACAGAAUAUCACCCAGCAAUCCUAACUUUGUGCUGCAUGAAGAAACAGGAUGAAAGUUCGAGUUGUCUUUUUGAGGGGAGAGGGAGACUUGUAUUAAUAGAAAGAAGAGAGUGUGUGGAGUUUGGGGAAGAGGGAAGGACAGGGGGCAGACUGAGGCAGCCUUCUCUCCUUCUGUUUAGUAACGGCAUCCCCAACCUUUCCCUGGGCACAUGUAUCCCCUCACAUCUGCAGGCUAUACACUAUCCCCUCAGGCUCUCUUCCAGUCUCGUGAGGCCAUUUGACUAAGUUCAAACCCGUGAGAUAUGAAAGAAUCUGAGGUGUGCCAUUUCCAGGUCAUCUCUACAGAUGCUGACUCUGCGCUUUCUCCUUUCUGUUGCCUAGAAAAUGAUGACAACUGGAGAAACCUUGGAAACCAUAAGUUGAAGACAAACGAGCCACCCCUAGCCCUGCAAUGCUCUUUUGGAGUGUUUAUUUAUGUAGGAACCUUGUGACAGUUUUUAAAACAUGACAUAAAGAAGUGGAGUAUAUGUGCACUCCCUUUCAAGGACUUGGGACUUCAAGUAUGUGGUAGGAAGUAUGGCAAAAAUGACCCUAUGUAACUUCCAAGGCUUGCCCAGAAGAGGCCAUGUGACUUCCACCUGGUUCUCUCAGAAUGCUCAGUCCCAGGAUGCCUGUUGGAACCCAGCUGCCCUGCUGCGUUAGACCCAAGCCCCAUGGAGAGGCUGUGUGUACUGCCAGGUUGAUAGCCCCAGCUGAGCACAGCCUUGAAGUCCUCCCAGACCAGGUACAGACAUGGCAGCAAAGAAGCUUCCAGACAAUCCUGCCUGUCAUCAUUUGAAUCUCCUUCAGACCUUCACAUCUUCCAAGGUGGGGCCCCAAACAUCUGGGGCCAAAGCAAGCCAUCUUUGCUCUGUCCUAUCCCAAUUCCUAACCCACAGUAUCUAUGAGUGUAGUGAAGUGCUCUAAGUAUUUUGGGGUGUUCUUAUUAAAGCAACCUCGCCUGUGCCCAAAAUAACACAAAUGCCAUAUUAAAAAUUAUUUAAGUAAUUAAUGUGUCAAACCAAAACAAGACUAUUCUAAGGACCCAACACAAUCUUGAAUGUUAAUUAGUUAUGUCAGAUACAACCGUUUUCCUGUACUUAAGUAACCAGUACGUUAGGGAAAUUCUGUCAAAAACUGUUAAGAUUUCUAGAGAAAAAUGGAGACUGCUCUGAAAUUUACCCUCCGAUAUUGUAUCAUGGGAGUUUGUCUGAUGUGUUGCGCUGAUGCCAUUCAUACCUGUAUCUUCUUUCCUUUCCUUGAUAACGCUGUUCGGAGGUCUCAGGGUGAAUUAAGUUUAAGUCUAGUUUAUGAUGUAUACCUACCUAAUAAAUUUGUGAUUGAAAACUUUCCUGUUAAUCUUUAUCUCGAGCUGGUACAUAUUUUUACAGUCAUUAAAUAAUUAACCUCUUGCCUCUGAGUUUUCCUUUGAUUUUGUGGGUAUAUAUAGACGUUGAUAGCACUUGUAGUGACAAGGUCCACAGUAACUAUGCAUUCCAAUUCCGUAACCUCAGAAGUUCCUCUUUAGAGGGAGUGACUUUUUAGAGGGAAGUCCCAGUAAAUGGUGGAUUGAGGAUGAAAAAUCCAAUGGCCAUACUUUCUCAUAUUUGGAGAUCCAACAGCCCAGUGAGCGUCUCUCAUGUGUGGAGGAAGCCCUUCAAUGCAGAGUGAGGCUCGAGGUGUGGAUGCAAAUGAAGACUCAGGACACCUGGCUCCUCUUCCUGGAUCUGUCACUCUCUGGCAACUCUGACCCAAUCUCUGAGGCCCAGGGUCCUCAUAUGCAAGUGAUGAGUUGUACCAAACUCUUUCUAAAGUGCCUACCAUUUCUAAGAUUUUACAAACAUUGAUUUAAAGAAUAGUGGUUAAGAGUGUGGGGUCUCAAGUCCUUAUCUUGGGCUUAAAUCCCAAUUCUUCCACUUACCAUCUGUGUCACCUUGGGUGAAAAUGGUGGUCCUGAUCUCCUAAGGUUAUAUGAGGAUUAAAUGGGGCAAUAUGUGUAUAGUGACUAGGAAAGUGCCUGGCACAUGUAGGGCUCAAUCAGCAUUUAAUUCUAUUAUACAUAAAACAACUACCCUUUAUUGCAUGUUCAUUAGAUGCUAGAGAGCUCAGAAACCCAAAGCCAUAAGACUAGCAAGUUGUAGAACAACAUUUCAACCACAGGUAUGGCUGACUGCAAAUACCUUGUAUUUUAAGUAUGCAUACCAUAAAGUGUAGCUUAUUGACAAAUUCUAGGAAAUGGUUGUACAUAACAUAUCUGAAUCUUUAGAAUCAUAGAAUUAUUUGAAGAUAAUAAGUUUGAACUCCUGAGUUUGUUAUUGCAUUCGCAUACUUUUUUGGUGUCCCUCUUGGGCAAGCUUUCUAUUCUUCAUUUUUCUUUGGCAGCAAGAGCCACUUGUUUUGGUUUUAGUUCCAUUUCUGUGAAACAGUCUGAAUCCCACAGUCCAACACUCCCUUCUAGGAUUUUCCCAGGGGCACAUACAGGAGAAGUAUAUGAUUUGUGUCCUUUUAUUAGCCAAGCAGUUCAGACAUGAGUAAUUUCCAAGUUAACCUUUUAUUUACUAGUGGGGUAAUUUCUUUACUGUUCUCUUUUAUUCAUUUAUUUUUAUGACCUGGACAAGGGAGAUACCCAGAAAGACAAGAGGGUAAGUGACCCUGAGACAGACGAAAGGAAAAGAAAGUAAAGGAUCUACUGGGGCAAAACCAGGGCAGCAAAGAAGUCAUCAGAUAAGAAUAUGAUGGCCAAACAUUGAAGUCUUAGGAGUAAAUUCAAGGGGAGCUGCAGAAUGAGGGUGAGAGGAGUAAUUUAAUUGUCAAGACUACAUUUUGGAUGACGCCUACCCCAGCAUGGCAUGCCAAGUGGUGCCAUGUCUGCACCCGGGAUCCGAACCGGCGAACCCCGGGCCGCCAAGAAGCAGAACACACGAACUUAACCGCUGCGCCACCAGGUCGGCCCCCGAAAAUUUUUUUAUAUAGCAUUUUAUUGAUUUAAUCAUCAGUUAAUGAGUUAAAAAUAAAAUCUUUGAUGUGAUCAUUAUACAUUUGUAUUGGAGUCAUAAUUUUACCUUUUUAAAAAAUCUAUUCUUCAACAUAAUUUAAU